rnacentral:rRNA from 1 species
GAAUCUUCCACAAUGGACGAAAGACUGAUGGAGCAAUGCCGCGUGAGUGAAGACGGUUUUCGGUUCGUAAAACUCUGCUGUGAGGGAAGAACAAGUAUGAGAGUAACUGCUCUUACCUUGACGGUACCUCAUUAGAAAGCCACGGCUACCUACGUGCCAGCAGCCGCGGUAAUCCGUAGGUGGCAAGCGUUGUCCGGAAUUAUUGGGCGUAAAGCGCGCGCAGGCGGUCCUUUAAGUCUGGUGUGAAAUCCCACGGCUCAACCGUGGAAGGUCAUUGGAAACUGGGGGACUUGAGUACAGAAGAGGAAAGCGGAAUUCCAAGUGUAGCGGUGAAAUGCGUAGAGAUUUGGAGGAACACCAGUGGCGAAGGCGGCUUUCUGGUCUGUAACUGACGCUGAGGCGCGAAAGCGUGGGGAGCAAACA